AAUAGAUACCCGGUAGUCCACGCCGUAAACGAUGUCGACUUGGAGGUUGUUCCCUUGAGGAGUGGCUUCCGGAGCUAACGCGUUAAGUCGACCGCCUGGGGAGUACGGCCGCAAGGUUAAAACUCAAAAUGAAUUGACGGGGGCCCGCACAAGCGGUGGAGCAUGUGGUUUAAUUCGAUGCAACGCGAAGAACCUUACCUACUCUUGACAUCCAGAGAACUUAGCAGAGAUGCUUUGGUGCCUUCGGGAACUCUGAGACAGGUGCUGCAUGGCUGUCGUCAGCUCGUGUUGUGAAAUGUUGGGUUAAGUCCCGCAACGAGCGCAACCCUUAUCCUUUGUUGCCAGCGGUUCGGCCGGGAACUCAAAGGAGACUGCCAGUGAUAAACUGGAGGAAGGUGGGGAUGACGUCAAGUCAUCAUGGCCCUUACGAGUAGGGCUACACACGUGCUACAAUGGCAUAUACAAAGAGAAGCGACCUGCAAGAGCAAGCGGACCUCAUAAAGUAUGUCGUAGUCCGGAUUGGAGUCUGCUAACG
rnacentral:rRNA from 1 species